AUUAAACGCUGGCGGCAUGCCUUACACAUGCAAGUCGAACGGCAGCACGGGGGCAACCCUGGUGGCGAGUGGCGGACGGGUGAGUAAAGCAUCGGAACGUAUCCCGGAGUGGGGGAUAACGUAGCGAAAGUUACGCUAAUACCGCAUAUUCUGUGAGCAGGAAAGCAGGGGAUCGCAAGACCUUGCGCUCUGGGAGCGGCCGAUGUCGGAUUAGCUAGUUGGUGGGGUAAAGGCCUACCAAGGCGACGAUCCGUAGCGGGCCUGAGAGGAUGAUCCGCCACACUGGGACUGAGACACGGCCCAGACUCCUACGGGAGGCAGCAGUGGGGAAUUUUGGACAAUGGGCGGAAGCCUGAUCCAGCCAUGCCGCGUGAGUGAAGAAGGCCUUCGGUG
rnacentral:rRNA from 1 species